rnacentral:tRNA from 2 species
GCGCCUGUAGCUCAGGGGGAGAGCGCCUGCUUGACGCGCAGGAGGCCGCAGGUUCGAUACCUGCCGGGCGCACCA